rnacentral:rRNA from 1 species
CCUACGGGGCGCAGCAGUGAGGAAUAUUGGUCAAUGGGCGAGAGCCUGAACCAGCCAAGUCGCGUGAGGGAGUACUGCCCUAUGGGUUGUAAACCUCUUUUGUCGGGGAGCAAAAGCCGGACGUGUCCGGCUGUGAGAGUACCCGAAGAAAAAGCAUCGGCUAACUCCGUGCCCGCAGCCGCGGUAAUACGGAGGAUUCGAGCGUUAUCCGGAUUUAUGGGGUUUAAGGGGUGCGCAGGCGGAUGUUUACGUCAGCGGUAAAAUCGUGGGGCUCAACCCCAUCCAGCCGUUGAAACUGGGGAUCUAGAGUGUGCGAGAGGUAUGCGGAAUGCGUGGUGUAGCGGUGAAAUGCAUAGAUAUCACGCAGAACCCCGAUUGCGAAGGCAGCAUACCGGUGCACAACUGACGCUCAGGCACGAAAGCGUGGGUAUCGAACAGGAUUAGAUACCCGGGUAGUC